AUUGAACGCUGGCGGCAGGCCUAACACAUGCAAGUCGAGCGCGCGGCGGACGGGUGAGUAAUGUAUGGGGUCUGCCCGAUAGUGGGGGAUAACAAUUGGAAACGGUGGCUAAUACCGCAUACUGUCGGAUAUUCCUUUUGGGAGUAGCUAGUGGGUCAGGUAAUGGCUUACAUAGGCGACGAUCUCGAGCUGGUCUGAGAGGUUGAUCAGCCACACUGGGACUGAGACACGGCCCAGACGCCUACGGAGGCAGCAGUGGGGUAGCUUGCGCAAUUGGCGCAAGCCUUGUGCAGCGAUGCAGCGUGUAUGAGGAAGGCCGUAGUGUUGUAAAGUACUUUCAGUCGGGAGGCGUUACCGGCAGAAGAAGGACCGGCUAACUCCGUUCCAGCCGCCGCGGUAAUUC
rnacentral:rRNA from 1 species